GGCGAACUAUGUGCCAGCAGCCGCGGUAAUACAUAGGUGGCAAGCGUUAUCCGGAUUUAUUGGGCGUACAGGGUGCGUAGGCGGUUGUGUAAGUUUGAGGUUAAAGCCCGGAGCUCAACUCCGGUUCGCCUUGAAAACUACAUAACUAGAAUGCAAGAGAGGUAAAUGGAAUUCCAUGUGUAGCGGUAAAAUGCGUAGAUAUAUGGAAGAACACCUGUGGCGAAAGCGGUUUACCAGCUUGUUAUUGACGCUGAGGCACGAAAGCGUGGGGAGCAAAUAGGAUUAGAUACCCUAGUAGUCCACGCCGUAAACGUUGAGUACUAGGUGUCGGGAAUUAUCUCGGCGCCGCAGCUAACGCAUUAAGUACUCCGCCUGAGUAGUAUGCACGCAAGUGUGAAACUCAAAGGAAUUGACGGGGACCCGCACAAGUGGUGGAGCAUGUGGUUUAAUUCGAAGCAACACGAAGAACCUUACCAGGGCUUGACAUCCAGUGCAAAGGCAUAGAGAUAUGCUGGAGGCUAACAUUGAGACAGGUGGUGCAUGGUUGUCGUCAGUUCGUGCCGUGAGGUGUUUGGUUAAGUCCAGCAACGAACGCAACCCUUGUCAUUAGUUACUAACAUUAAGUUGAGGACUCUAAUGAGACUGCUAGUGUAAGCUAGAGGAAGGUGGGGAUGACGUCAAAUCAUCAUGCCCCUUAUGUCCUGGGCUACACACGUGCUACAAUGGCUGAUACAAAGAGUCGCAAUCUCGUAAGGAGGAGCUAAUCUCAUAAAGUCAGUCUCAGUUCGGAUUGAGGGCUGCAACUCGCCCUCAUGAAGCCGGAAUCACUAGUAAUCGCGAAUCAGACAUGUCGCGGUGAAUACGUUCUCGGGUCUUGUACACACCGCCCGUCACACCACGAGAGUUGGUAACACCAGAAGUAGGUAGCCUAACCGUAAGGAGGGCGCCUCCCAAGGUGGGAUCAGCGAUUGGGGUG
rnacentral:rRNA from 1 species